UGAGGAAUAUUGGUCAAUGGGCGAGAGCCUGAACCAGCCAAGUAGCGUGCAGGAUGACGGCCCUAUGGGUUGUAAACUGCUUUUAUACGGGGAUAAAGUUGGGACGUGUCCCAUUUGUAGGUACCGUAUGAAUAAGGACCGGCUAAUUCCGUGCCAGCAGCCGCGGUAAUACGGAAGGUCCGGCGUAUCGAUUAUUGGUUAAGGAGCGUAGCCGGAGAUUAAGCGUGUUGUGAAAUGUAGGAGCUCAACUUCUGCACUGCAGCGCGAACUGGUUUCCUUGAGUACGUAGGAAGUUGGCGGAAUUCGUGGUGUAGCGGUGAAAUGCUUAGAUAUCACGAAGAACUCCGAUUGCGAAGGCAGCUGACUGUAUCGUAACUGACGCUGAAGCUCGAAAGUGUGGGUAUCGAACAGGAUUAGAUACC
rnacentral:rRNA from 1 species